rnacentral:rRNA from 1 species
UACGAGGGGGGCGAGCGUUGUUCGGAAUUAUUGGGCGUAAAGGGCGCGUAGGCGGUGCGGUAAGUCUGCAGUGAAAUCUCUGGGCUCAACUCAGAGUCUGCUGUAGAAACUGCCGUGCUUGAGUGUGGGAGAGGUGAGUGGAAUUCCCGGUGUAGCGGUGAAACUGCGUAGAUAUCGGGAGGAACACCUGUGGCGAAAGCGGCUCACUGGACCACAACUGACGCUGAGGCGCGAAAGCUAGGGGAGCAAACAGG